GAUGAACGCUGGCGGCGUGCCUAAUACAUGCAAGUCGAGCGAACAGACGAGGAGCUUGCUCCUCUGACGUUAGCGGCGGACGGGUGAGUAACACGUGGAUAACCUACCUAUAAGACUGGGAUAACUUCGGGAAACCGGAGCUAAUACCGGAUAAUAUAUUGAACCGCAUGGUUCAAUAGUGAAAGACGGUUUUGCUGUCACUUAUAGAUGGAUCCGCGCCGCAUUAGCUAGUUGGUAAGGUAACGGCUUACCAAGGCAACGAUGCGUAGCCGACCUGAGAGGGGGAUCGGCAAACCGGGAACUGAGAAACGGUCCAGACUCCUACGGAAGGCAGCAGUGGGGAAUCUGCCGCAAGGGGCGAAAGCCUGACGGAGCAACGCCGCGUGAGUGAUGAAGGUCUUCGGAUCGUAAAACUCUGUUAUUAGGGAAGAACAAAUGUGUAAGUAACUAUGCACGUCUUGACGGUACCUAAUCAGAAAGCCACGGCUAACUACGU
rnacentral:rRNA from 1 species